UAGAGUCCCUUUUAUGUUGGGUACUUGGAACGAAAAUGGCAUCAAACAUCUAUCCAAAAACCCUAUUUCUUAUCUCUUGAUUCUGGAGGCGCUUUCCCUCGAAGAAAGCAUUGCUAUUUCCUUAUCCGUUUCUACAUUUCCAUCUAUUUUAUUACAGCAGUGUUACACACACACACACACUCUCUCUCUCUCUCUCUGUGUAAUGGUUUUACCCUAUCGUCCUCACUCUAUGUCUCUUUUUCAUCACAGCAACAAAUCUUGCCGCUCAGUCCUUCAUUCUUCACUUCAUCUGAGAUCGACUCUGCCCCACAAUCGCGCAGCUGCAAAACAAGGUUUUACACGGGUGUCAUUAUUUAGCAACAUUGUCAUAUAUUUUUAGAUUCUACUUGAGACAUUUUGUUUCAUUUAUGGGUCCAAUUUAUGUCUGAUAAACACUUGAACACAAGUGUUGGUGAUACCCAGGAAAAGCAGUCUGCGCCAAACAAGCAUAAUUGCAGUAAGAUAGCUUUAGCAAAAGGCACUGAUCUGGUGGAUGCAGACGUUUGGAAAAAAUUAUGCAUGCGGUGGGGUAGCAAGGAUUUCAAGGUAUAGCUGCCUUUCUAGCACUAUGAAGAACCUCAAGGCUGAUUUUGAGACUUUUCCCAUCGUCACAGACACCGAGCUCGCUGUGCAUUGUCUCCUCUACCAUCACCUGGUUUCACCAUCACCAGCCGAAACAGAGGACUUCCUUUGCUGCCCCCAUCCGCCCUAUAUUAACCAUGGUUUCGUCUCUCUAUAAAACCCCUCUCACUCUAUCCCUCACUCUGUAAUGGCCUAACCCUAGCUAUUUUUUCAUCUGUCUAUAUAUAGAUUUUCAUCUGUGAUUUAUGUUUGGUAGACCAUUUUGCUUGUAGUAAUACUAGGUGUUGGUACUAUUGGGAUGCAAUUGCAGUAGGCAAAAUCAAUUUUUUCAUUCCUUUAUGUCCAUGAAACUUGUCCCAAUGUUGCUGUGUUUGCUGUGUUUGCCGUGUUUGCUAUGUUUGGUUGGUGCUGUGCUUAGCUUGUGCCGUGAACUGUGUUAUGUUUCUCCCUAGUAGACUGUUUCAUUGGAUGACUCAUUUACAUGUUCUUUCUUCAUGAAGCAUACAUGUAAAUGCAAGCAAAUGCUUUGAACAUCUUCUUCAUUCUCUUGCUUUGUGCUUUCUGAUAUCGACUAAGGAGGAAUUUUAUCCAUCUUUUUGGGAAAAUGUACUCUUCCUCACAACCCAAUGGUAUGAUAUUUUUAAUAACAUGGCUUUAUGAUAAGCCAGCUCUUAAACCCUCCCCUUCUCUUGUCCUAUUCAGAUUAUGAUGUGCAAGAUCUAUAAUAUGGAAAUUACAUAUGAUGCUCAUACUUUGCAUCAUGGACGUAGUGUGGACCUAAUUAUGUGCCCAGCAAGAUGAUUAAGCCUUGUCUAAUGCAUGAAGUGACUUGGAAACAAUCUAUUUUGUUGAUACAUGCUUAGUGGAAGAGACACUUGUAUGGGAAAAGCUGAAAAAAUAAUAAUUUGGAUUGAUGUUAGAAGUAACAAUAAUGCCCAUAAAAAUUCAAUAGCUUACCGCUUAUAAUUUUCUUGGGCCAAUGUUUACAGAAAAUCAACAUAUAUGAUAAUGAUGUAUCAUUUCAAUAAAUACACUCUCUUGUGAUAUCAUAGGAGAGAUUAUAUGGUGCUAUAAUGUAUCAUUUAGAUGUCUAACAAUUUAUUUUGUAGUAACUAAUGGAUAAUCACUUUUUAUUAAUGAUUCUAAGCCAUUAAUAACCAGUAAACAAAUAAUAGUUUGCAAUAAUUUAGGCUGACUUUGUAUUACAAUAGGAGAAGUUAAAUCAUCACAAGACGUUGUUGGACCAACUACGUAGGAGGUUUAAUUCUUUUCACGAAAAGUUGCACAAGAUGUACACCAGCUGUGGAAGUCCUAAAAUGGCUUUGGCAAAAGGCACUGAUUUAGUGGAUGCAGAGGCGCUUUCACUACAGAACAAGUCGAAUCGUGAGAAGCAGCGGACUAACCAAACAGCUGGGAGGAAGUCCAUUGUACUAAUAAUUGAGGAGAAGGUGCGGGUCUAGCUGUGAAAAUGGUCUUCCUGUGGACACAUAAAGUUGUCGUUAAGGGGGAAAAGUGUGGUUCAUUCCUUUUGACUGAAGAGACCCAGUACAGCAUAUAAGCCACAUACAGCUGGUCGCAACAGCUAAUUAGAGGAUUUGAUUCUUCAGUCCUCAAGUACUUAAGCUAAAGAUCGACUUGGUGCUCCUAUUUUUGAAGCAUUAAGGUCUUCCUUCUCUUUUUUUUGAAGCAUAUGAAAAUGUCACUGGUGCUCUGGUUAGCAAGUUCGCAAGUCUUGGCUACUAUAGAUUCGUCCAUCUCUGAAGAGGAAUACAACUAGAUUCAUGCUUCAUGCAAUCUAAAAAAUGAAACUUGAAUUGAAUUGCAACUGCAGAACAAAUAAGAAUAGUAAGCAAAAGUCAGCCCACAUAAAUUCCAUAUGUUUGAAUAAAAGCAAUAGAAAUGUCACAAAUUGACUCAAGGAUUGUCUGGAUCAUAUACCAAUAAAAAUGAGGGACAAUCAGACUAAAAUUUCUAUUGAAAUAUGAGUCAUUAUUUUCCAACAAAAGUAUGAAAGGAAAGAAAACUAUCUCUAAUUAUUCCAUUGUAUUCUAGGAUAAAUUAACUGUAAAUGAAUAGUUACAAAAUAGAGGAAUUUCUGAACUUACAACAUGCAAAUAUAAAAAUGUAAACUUGAAAAUAGAAUAAAUACAAGAAUAGAGGAAAUACUAGAAUUGCUCAACUUGCAGCUUUAAACCUGUAAACUGUAAAUCAAGGAAAGAUCUGUUUCCAUAACAUAGAAAAUAAGUAUAAUUUGCAUGCUAUAGUGACAUUGUUUUGAGUUAGUACAUGGCAUGAUGUCAUGCAAACUUCAGAGUGGUUGGUUUUUCAUUUACAAAGUUGCAGGGACAUCAAAGCACAUGUUAACAAAUACCAAAUUAUCAUAGACAAUAAAUAAAUGCCUAAAAGUCAAGGAUAGACCAGACCACUUCAAAAACAAGUUAAACAAAAAACACAAUAACUACAAUUCUAACAAACCCAUCGUCAUGGAGACAUAGCAAAUCAACCAACACCAAUUGGUGUAUAGUAGAACUAGGAUGUAUUGAAGUGUACCUAUAAGUGCUCUGGCAGGAUCAAUGCAGUAAUGCCUAAAUGGAACAUUCAAGUGGAAACACUUGUUAGCAUCGAAUGGUCCAAUUGUCAGGCACAACAGAUUUUAGAAAAUUAUAAGAAAAAAGAAAACCUGUCAUUUUUAAAAAAUGUAAAAUAAGAAGAAGGAAGAUCCAAUAAUUACCUUCUUCGUCUAAGGGUAAAUCCCAGAUUUGAACCUUCCAUCCAUCCUCACGCAAGUCGAAAUCGAGGAGCAACCCGAUAGGCAUGCAUUUGAACCACUAGAAUGAAUAGGACUCAAAAUCAAAAUAAAUCCAAACCUAAAUAAAUUUAAAAGGGGAAUAGAUUUCAAGAAUGAAAAGUGUCUUACUUUCUGUUGCUCCUAAUAUGUGAAGUGAAUAAUCAUGUAUGCAUUGGAGUUUAUAGGAAUAUAUAGGAAUAAAGUCAAGAAUAGAAAAAAUUACGACCACCUAAUCCAACAAAACGUUUGUGAAGGAGUGAUUUUAUUUUCUCAGUUUUCUCCUCAUACUUCUUAGUUUUGUGCAAAACAUUCAUGAUUCUAAAAACUCAACUGAAUAAUUUUAAAAGAAAAAAAAAAAGAAAAAAAAAAUGAAAAAAGAAACUGAGCUGAAUCCAAGUACUCUUGUUUUGCAAAUAUUGGGUUACAUUAUCUUGCUCUUGUAUCACUUAUGUUGUGUAGUUAUCAAGUCUUUUCCGCAAUCAUCUAAGAAAACCUAGUCCUAUUGGUCACAUAAAGUCUACAAAAGCUAGUUUUUGUAGCAAGUUUUAGUGUGCGUUAAAAAAAAAACACCCAAAAACUUAAAAUUUUGCAAUAAAAAAAUUACUAUUCAGAUUAUCGUAUGGGACCAUUCACGACAAAAUUUAGCGGCUAGUUCGAAAUCACCACAAAUAAUGUCGUUUCUCGUCAAUUUGAGGUUGGACGGAAAAAUCUUGGAUGCAAAAAAUGGUUUUUCUUGUAGCGUAGGAAGAUAUGAAGCCACUCUACAUGCAUGCGUGUCAUGUACCUCAAUUAAUUCACCAACUCGCUACAAUCAAUACCAUAUAUAUUACUGUUCCAUUAGUCACUAGUUUUUUGUAAACAACAUGCUAAAUUGUUAAUAGUUGCUACGUACAAUAGAAACGGCCUUUUGCGUCCCAUUAAAUCGACACAAAAAUCCCAUAAAAUGAUGGUAAUAAUUAUUUCCAUCCAAAUCUAAUCGACGCAACAUGGACACUAUUAAAACUUCUCAAAAGGUUUAUGGCGUCAAAACUUGUGAAUGUCACAAAUAUGUCGUGAAUUUGCAAUGAAUUAUAUUGCAGCCAUUAUUCACAAACUUUGACAUAAAAAAAGUAAGCCAAUAGUGAAGAAAAAUCCAUUUGCAUCAUUAUUUUUGUGACGCAAAUAUAAAAUAUUGAUAUUAAAAAAAAUAUUAUUCCUAAGCUACUUUUAUGGUCGCAAAUAUAUAUUACCGCAAUUACUUAAUAUAUAUUUGCAUCGAUAAAUAUCUUCACAAAUGCACUAUUGGUGUUAUGCAAAAGGCCAAGCACGCGGUCUAAAAAUAUAUAUUUGCAACUCAUUAUUUAUGCUGCAAUUAUAAAAAGUUUUGCAUGAAACUAGUGUUUUUGAUACAAAAAAUAUUGUUGCAAAUAAUUAUUUUUUAUGGUGCAUAUUAGCUUGUUGCAAAUGCCAAUGAAUUAUAGAUAAAGGUCAAUUAUAUUUGUUGCUAAGUAGUAGUGCUACAAAUAUAAACAAUUGAAAAACUCUAAAUGCAGUCGGUUCGUGCAAUCUCUAUACAGUUGUCUGACGUGGAUUUUUAAUGAAACGGCUCGUUUUAUUGAAUUUGGAAUGUUGAAACGAAUGAAACAUAGAGCAGGAAGGGAAAUUAGAAAAUCAAAACGAGGGAAAUUAGAAUACCGAAACACACCGUUUCUCUUUAUUGAGAAAUAUAUCUUCAAAUUAGAGCAUCGGCAAUGGCCUCGCCAUUGCCAAAUGUAAGUUUAAAAUGACUAUAAUUUUGCAACAAUAGAUCUGCAAUGGCCUAGCCAUAGAUGGAAAAUUUGACAUAAGUGAUACAGUAAAUUUAAAGACCUCGCCAGACAUGGCGAGAUACUAUACAAAGUCCAAAGAUUUUUUUAUUUGUUUUCUACUACCUGCCCUGUCAUUUCCCUCGGUUUUCCAUUUCAGAUAUCUCUCCAUUUCUUCUUCUUUCUUUUCUUCUUUAUUUUCUUUCUCUCCCGAAGCCUGGGUCUUCUUCAACCUGUCGCCGUCCUUCAACCAGCAACCUCCCAACUUUCAAGCCUCAAAGCCGGAUGCCAAUUUCUGAAGCUUGGGUCUUCUUCAACCUGUCGCCGUCCUUCAACCAGCAACCUCCCGACUUUCAAGCCUCAAAGCUGACUGCCAAUUUCCGAAGCUUGGGUCUUCUUCAACCUGUCGUCGUCCUUCAACCAGGAACCUCCCGACUUUCAAGCCUCAAAGCUGACUGUGAUGAUUUUUUUUUUGGAGGAGAAAAAGGGAACUUGAGGUUCAAAACUGUUGACAGCGGAGGACAGGACGUCUGAUCAUACUACGAUCAUUGAGAUGGAGCUAGCCUUGCAGCCUGCCUUCGUGUGGCCCGAGUGUUGCAUCUAUAAGAUCCCCAAAGAGCUAUGCAUGUUGAAAGUGAAACAGAUAUUGGGUUGGUUUGGUACAAAAAACUUUCAGGAACCAUGUGGUUGGUUUAUGUAUAAAUUAUGUUAUGUAAGCUUUGUUGUAUACUGUGGAUAUAUGAACCAACUGUAAAUUAUGGCUGCUUUUAGAGUAGGCAGAACUACAAAAUCUAGUACUUGUAACAUCACUAAUUUACUUGCUCGGAACCAUGUGGUUGGUUUAUGUAACUGUUAUGUUAUGUAAGCACUUGUAUGAUGUGGAUAUAUCAAUCAACUCUUUGUAUUUA